UACGGAGGGUGCAAACGUUGCUCGGAAUUAUUGGGCGUAAAGCGCGUGUAGGCGGCAGAGUCAGUCGGGCGUGAAAGCCCUGGGCUCAACCCAGGAAGUGCGUCCGAUACUGCUCAGCUAGAGUACGGGAGAGGGUAGUGGAAUUCCCGGUGUAGAGGUGAAAUUCGGAGAUAUCGGGAGGAACACCAGUGGCGAAGGCGGCUACCUGGACCGAUACUGACGCUGAGACGCGAAAGCGUGGGUAGCAAACAGG
rnacentral:rRNA from 1 species